rnacentral:rRNA from 1 species
UACGGGGGGAGCAAGCGUUGUUCGGAUUUACUGGGCGUAAAGGGCGCGUAGGCGGCUUUGUAAGUCGGGGGUGAAAGCCUGUGGCUCAACCACAGAAUUGCCUUCGAUACUGCAUGGCUUGAGACCGGAAGAGGUUAGUGGAACUGCGAGUGUAGAGGUGAAAUUCGUAGAUAUUCGCAAGAACACCAGUGGCGAAGGCGGCUGACUGGUCCGGUUCUGACGCUGAGGCGCGAAAGCGUGGGGAGCGAACAGG